UCAUGAUCACCACAACUACCCUCACCACUUUCCCCACUACCAAUGGAAGCACGUCCAUAGAAAAACCAAGAAGUUCCCGUAGCAAGCCAAGCAACUCCCAAAAUUUCCCCGCUCAAUUUCACAAAAAAAUCGACCGCAAACCACAGCAUUUUGCUCAAUUUCACCAAAAAAAAACCCACAACAAACAAAGCAGAAGUGGUUGUACCACUAUGAUGGGAAGAAGACGCAUGCUUUAAGCAUUGACGGUGGAGGAACUACUUGCAUUGUUGUCGGAGCAGCCUUGGUUCACCUUAAGUCUCAAACCAAUAACCGAUGAUUCUCACACACAAUGUGGUGUCGGCUGUCUUAGAUCCAAGGAAUACCCGGUUCACGUUGAGUCUUAGAUCCAAGCGAUAAUCGGUAAUUCUGGUGCACCUUGAGUCUCAAAUCUGAGUGCUUUUCUCCCAGCCUUGAUCGUCGCCGACGAUGGUGCCGAUUGUCCGCUUUUCUCGGAUACAAGUAUGGGUAGGGUGUCAGGGGCUAUAUAUUUUAUUUUUAUUUUUUGGGAUUUUUAAUUUAAUUUUUUAAUUUAUUUAAUAUGAAAAAAAUGCAAGUACUAUUUUGCCAUUUUUAAUUUGGUUCAAAUUGGUAAAUUUUGACUUUUCUGGUCAACAAACGGCUAAACAGAUGUAUAUUUAUCAAAGUUUAGGGACAUUUGCUGACACAAAAUGAAGGUUUAGGUAAAGUCUACAAAAAUUGAAAACGUUUCGGACCGUUGCUACAAUUUUCCCUUUAUGUUAUUUGUAUUGUAAAUAUAGUAGCAUUUAUGAAUGAUUUUUAUACCCCUGUAGUCCUAGUUGUUAUGAUUGUUGUAUCCCUUGUAACCCUAAGUAU
rnacentral:lncRNA from 1 species